UACGUAGGGUGCAAGCGUUUGUCCGGAAUUAUUGGGCGUAAAGAGCUUGUAGGCGGUUUGUCGCGUCUGCUGUGAAAUUUCGGGGCUCAACCCCGAACUUGCAGUGGGUACGGGCAGACUAGAGUGUGGUAGGGGAGACUGGAAUUCCUGGUGUAGCGGUGAAAUGCGCAGAUAUCAGGAGGAACACCGAUGGCGAAGGCAGGUCUCUGGGCCAUAACUGACGCUGAGAAGCGAAAGCAUGGGGAGUGAACAGG
rnacentral:rRNA from 1 species